AGACUCCCUACGGGAGGCAGCAGUAGGGAAUUUUCCGCAAUGGACGAAAGUCUGACGGAGCAAUGCCGCGUGAGUGAUGAAGGUUUUCGAAUCGUAAAGCUCUGUUGUAAGGGAAGAAUAGCCAAGAAUAGGAAAUGAUUCUUGUCUGACGGUACCUUACCAGAAAGCCACGGCUAACUACGUGCCAGCAGCCCGCGGUAAUACGUAGGUGGCAAGCGUUAUCCGGAAUUAUUGGGCGUAAAGCGCAUGUAGGCGGCUCUUUAAGUCUGAUGUGAAAGCCUGUGGCUCAACCACAGAAUUGCAUUGGAUACUGGAGAGCUAGAAUCUUGGAGAGGUAAGUGGAAUUUCAUGUGUAGCGGUGGAAUGCGUAGAUAUAUGAAGGAACACCAAUGGCGAAGGCAGCUUACUGGACAAGUAUUGACGCUGAGAUGCGAAAGUGUGGGUAGCAAACAGGAUUAGAUACCCUGGUAG
rnacentral:rRNA from 1 species